UACAGGGGGGGCAAGCGUUGUUCGGAAUUACUGGGCGUAAAGGGUUCGUAGGUGGCCAACUAAGCCAGACGUGAAAUCCCUCAGCUUAACUGGGGAACUGCGUCUGGGACUGGAUGGCUUGAGCGCAGGAGAGGAACGCGGAAUUCCAGGUGUAGCGGUGAAAUGCGUAGAUAUCUGGAGGAACACCGGUGGCGAAGGCGGCGUUCUGGACUGCAACUGACACUGAGGAACGGAAGCCAGGGGAGCAAACGGG
rnacentral:rRNA from 1 species